AUCAAUAACGUUAACGAAAUUACAUUUCCGUGUUCGCUGAACUCCUAUUCUGGUAUGUCCUAGCCAUACAGACCGUGCACGUGUAGCCCCGUUUAUCUGAGCUUGGGUAAACGGGUCCAAUCCCAACCCCUUGGGAGGAUGGGGUUGCAUGGCCAAGGCAGAAGGG
rnacentral:ribozyme from 1 species